UACGUAGGGGGCAAGCGUUGUCCGGAAUCAUUGGGCGUAAAGCGCGCGUAGGCGGCUCGACAAGUCCGUUGUGAAAGUCAAAGGCUCAACCUUUGAAUGCCGAUGGAUACUGUCGAGCUAGAGUCCGGAAGAGGCGAGUGGAAUUCCUGGUGUAGCGGUGGAAUGCGCAGAUAUCAGGAGGAACACCAAUAGCGAAGGCAGCUCGCUGGGACGGUACUGACGCUAAGGCGCGAAAGCGUGGGGAGCAAACAGG
rnacentral:rRNA from 1 species